rnacentral:rRNA from 1 species
CAAUACACUGGUGGCGACCGGCGCACGGGUGAGUAACACGUGUGCAACCAACCCCGUACCGGGAGAUAACCCGCGGAAACGUGGACUAACAUCCCAUAAGACUCUAGAGCCGCAUGGCUCUGGAUUUAAAAUUCCGGUGGUACGGGACGGGCACGCGCGACAUUAGGUAGUUGGCGGGGUAAGGGCCCACCAAGCCGACGAUGUCUAGGGGUUCUGAGAGGAAGGUCCCCCACACUGGAACUGAGACACGGUCCAG